GACAGAGGGGGCAAGCGUUGCUCGGAAUCACUGGGCGUAAAGGGCGCGUAGGCGGGCUGGCAAGUCAGUCGUGAAAUCUCUCGGCUCAACCGAGAAACGUCGGCUGAUACUGCCGUUCUUGAGGGAUGCAGAGGAGACUGGAAUUCCCGGUGUAGCGGUGAAAUGCGCAGAUAUCGGGAGGAACACCUAUGGCGAAGGCAGCUCGCUGGGACGUUACUGACGCUGAGACGCGAAAGCGUGGGGAGCAAACAGG
rnacentral:rRNA from 1 species